ensembl:ncRNA lncRNA:CR45434 long non-coding RNA:CR45434
ACUUCUAAAAAUAAAUUUUGUAACGAUAUAUAUAUAUAUAUAAAAGCAUAUAAGCAAUAUUUUCUUGCAAGUUCUUCCAAUGUCGUAAUGGUACUAGUAACUAGUACUUACUCAUUUGUUUUGAGAUGUAUGGUUCUAGAAUUGCUACCUAGACUAUCAUUGUGGAUGUUUUGCUAACAAACUCCAUAUCAUACCAAAUAUCCACUUAUGAGGAACCUUGCUUAUCCGGACCUGCCCCUGUGUAAAUAAUCCGUCUGGCGAAUCCAGAAGCGUAAACAGAUUGAUUGGACGGGUGAUCAGGCGGAAAACCCUCCGGACCACACACUUAACCAGCUCCAACACCUUGGCCAGCUCGAGAGCCUCCGGCUGGAAAGUCCAACCCAAUCAUUCUGUGCCCGGCACAUUUCGGGGGGGUUCGGCUCUCGAAAGUGGUGGUGAAGAAAUUAAAUCAAAUAUCGCUUAAAAAUUUAUUAACGUCCGCCAAGCCAGUUAAACGUCAGCAAAUUGUAUUUUUAUGUUAAGACCAUUAAUGAAAACCGGAAGCAAACAGAAACCGAAUGGAUGCAGGCAAACAAAAAAAAAUGGAAAGCUGCAAGCCAAACGCAAAAAAUUGCAUUUAAUGCACACAGAAAGUGGAGAAGGGCAAGGAUUUUCGGGAAAUUCCAACAUCGGCGUCGGCAUCGGCAGCACUUCGAUUAAGUAGCUUUGUAAACAGCAGGGACGGCCACAGGAGCUGCCUGGGAGUCGGGAACAGGACCCCAUCGAGACUCCCAGUACCUGGGAUGUGGUUGUCCUGCACAAGAAAAAAAAAACAGUUCCUUUCUGAAUGUUAACGGAAAAAUUUUAGUUACUCAGAGACACAGUUAUGUAAUAAAUUGAAUAAAAAGAAGAAAAGUCCUUCCAGGAACAUUUC